rnacentral:sRNA from 1 species
UGCGCUGCGGCGCGAGCUGGGCCGGCGGGUGUGGUUCGAGAGCGCGCGGAGUCCAGACUGGCGGCAGGGCCCGAGGGGCCGACCCGCAGCGUCCCUGGUCUCUCCAGCCCUCACUCGGAACCGCACACAGUGACAAUACCCUCCCCUCCCUUGGGCUGGACCCCUCUCUACAGCUAGGAGCCAAUGGCAGAAGACAAAACCAAACCGAGUGAGUUGGACCAAGGGAAGUAUGAUGCUGAUGACAACGUGAAGAUCAUCUGCCUGGGAGACAGCGCAGUGGGCAAAUCCAAACUCAUGGAGAGAUUUCUCAUGGAUGGCUUUCAGCCACAGCAGCUGUCCACGUACGCCCUGACCCUGUACAAGCACACAGCCAUGGUAGAUGGCAAGACCAUCCUUGUGGGUCUGUCCGUGUUCACACUGCAGACUUUUGGGACACGGCAGGCCAGGAGCGGUUCCAGAGCAUGCAUGCCUCCUACUACCACAAGGCCCACGCCUGCAUCAUGGUACGAGAUGGUGGGGAGGUGGACAAAGGCACUGGGCAAGUCUGGCCUGAGAGGUGAGGGGCCUAGCAGCCCUGGGCCCUUGUAACCAAGUCUGGGUGUUGUGGGAGGGGGGCUUAGGGUCACCCGGGGAUGUUUCAAACCACACCUGCUCCCCAGAGCUUCUUAGUGAGAAGGUGCCAGGUGAGCUCUCUGUAGGCGGGGAUGGGUGGAGAAAAGGUGGAACAGCAAGCUCAGGGCUUCAACAUCAGGUGUAGCAUCCAAGAGGCAAACAUAUGCCUGAAACAGGGCCACAGUCCCUCUGACGGACCUAACCUGUCAGACAAGCUCCCAAGGCCUCCCUCCACUGUUGCCUGCUGCUUUUCCCUAGGGGGCACAUGCUGGGACU